ACAAAAUAGGGGUGAGUACAAAGGUACUCAACAAGUCCAACCCCAUCCACAGAGGGGGAUACAGCAAGAAUAUGCAUAGGAUAUAACAAGGAUGAGGUUAAGGUUCAUUUGCAAUAAAGCUAGAUUUUUAACUCAUGCAUGGCUUCAUUUUCAAAGAGUUUUCGCAAUGUAUUUUAUUUAGUAACUGAAACAUUGAUUGGGGUUGAUCCUACACAAAGGAUCCAAGUUUUAUCGCUACCGGACUCCCCGUCCACCGUAGUGCACGGCAGAACUGUCGGACACUUCCAAAAUCCAAUACACGCCAUAAAAACCAACCAUCUCCAAAAGCUAGUUAUGUGACCAAGCCGUAACUC
rnacentral:lncRNA from 1 species